rnacentral:rRNA from 1 species
UGGGGAAUAUUGCACAAUGGGGGAAACCCUGAUGCAGCAACGCCGCGUGAGUGAAGAAGUAUUUCGGUAUGUAAAACUCUAUCAGCAGGGAAGAUAAUGACGGUACCUGACUAAGAAGCUCCGGCUAAAUACGUGCCAGCAGCCGCGGUAAUACGUAUGGAGCAAGCGUUAUCCGGAUUUACUGGGUGUAAAGGGUGCGUAGGCGGCAGAGCAAGUCAGAUGUGAAAGACCGGGGCUCAACCCCGGGGCUGCAUUUGAAACUGUUUUGCUGGAGUCCGGGAGAGGCAGGCGGAAUUCCUAGUGUAGCGGUGAAAUGCGUAGAUAUUAGGAGGAACACCAGUGGCGAAGGCGGCCUGCUGGACCGGAACUGACGCUGAGGCACGAAAGCGUGGGGAGCAAACA